rnacentral:rRNA from 1 species
CCUACGGGUGGCAGCAGUGAGGAAUAUUGGUCAAUGGCCGGAAGGCUGAACCAGCCAAGCCGCGUGAAGGACGAAGGUGCCAAGCAUUGUAAACUUCUUUUGUCAGGGAGCAAAGGGCGCCACGUGUGGCGUUUUGCGAGUACCUGAAGAAAAAGCAUCGGCUAACUCCGUGCCAGCAGCCGCGGUAAUACGGAGGAUGCGAGCGUUAUCCGGAUUUAUUGGGUUUAAAGGGUGCGCAGGCGGAAUGUCAAGUCAGCGGUAAAAUUUCGGGGCUCAACCCCGUCGUGCCGUUGAAACUGGCGUUCUUGAGUGAGCGAGAGGUAUGCGGAAUGCGUGGUGUAGCGGUGAAAUGCAUAGAUAUCACGCAGAACUCCGAUUGCGAAGGCAGCAUACCGGCGCUCAACUGACGCUCAUGCACGAAAGCGUGGGUAUCGAACAGGAUUAGAUACCCGUGUAGUC